rnacentral:lncRNA from 10 species
GAAUGGGGAAGGAGGGUGGAGGAAGGAGCUUGUAAAUGAGCAGCUGGUUUGCAGCAAAACCGCACCUCACUCUGCACCUUUGGAUCCCUCUCAGCCUGAGGUUAGCACAGCCAAUGUCCUCACCAGCGUCUGCCAAAGCCCAUGGAGAAGGCCAGCAGGAGCAUAUCACUGUGACUUACAACCCUUCUCUAGUCUGCUACAAUGGAAUCUUAAACAAGAAAAUUUUAUAUUUUGACUUGCAUCAUUGAGAAAAACACUGCCAACCUGAUCGUGGUUCCUUUGAAGAAUCACUGCAGCAGGUGCGAGAGAGGACUCAUGGAGCUUGCAGAUGAGCUAGCCCAGUUUUUAGAGUACUUCGUCCACGGCGCCAAGGUGUCUAGGGCAGAGACACCACAACCUCCUAAGAAUAUUUUUCAGACCCUGAACUUGAUGGGUCAGCUGCCACCACGCAGAUGGAUAAAGUGGCUUAUCUGGUACUGUGGCCCCCACUCAGGAACUGACUCAGCGCAAAGAAGACAGCUUCAACUCCCUAUGAUUUCAUCUCCAAUGGGACCAAUCAUCACUCCCCAGUCCCUGGCCUCCUAUGCACCAAAUUAUCCUUAAAAAACCCCAGUCUCUUAAUUGUCAGUCUCUCCAAUCUCUGAAUUUCCAGAAAGAGUUUAAUUCAUGCAGAGGCAGCUGAACUGAUUUGAGUAUGAAUUAAACUCUUUCUCUAUUGCAAUUCCUCUGUCUUGAUGAAUCGGCUUUAUCUGGGCAGUGGGCACAAUGAAUCCUUGGGCGGUUACAAUAAAACUGAAAAUAGAUAAAAACUGUGUGUGGCAAGAUUUAGAUCUAUAAAUUUUGACCUUGGAAAAUAGAACUCCAUAAAAAUAAUGCCCCCAAAAUAAAACUCACAGUAGUAGAAGCUGUUAUAGUAAAAUUUGAAUUGAACAAAAGACUGUUAAAACAGGACUGUGUUGAUAAGUUACACAUAAAUGAAUUCAUCCGGAUCAAAAUAAUUUUAGUAUUUUUACUCAUGACAUUGUAUUCAUGUUUAUUUAUGACAACAUAAAUAGUAAUUUUAUUCACAUGACAAAAUUGGAAAUACUUUAAGUGUGCUAUGUAGAAAACUAAUCAAGGAAUUAAUUUGGGUUAAUGAAAUUAAUUGUUAAAAGUAAUUUCUUGUCAACAACUUUUGUUGCUGGUAUAAUUGUUACAUGCCAGGUUCUGGUCUGUUCUACCUUCAAGCAGUAAAUCAAUCACUAUGAUUCAGGUUUUGCAAAAGAGAAAAGAUUUAUUCGAAAGGACACCCAGCGAGGAGGCGGUGGGAGAACAGCUCUCAAAUCUGCCUCCCCAAAGAUAAAGCUUAAGGGUAUUUAUGGGUUAGGGAAGUGAGGUGGUCUAAGGUGUGGGGAAAGGUGGUUGCUAGUGGGGAAAAAUGAAGUAACAGGUUCAUUCUGCAACAGCCUAGCUGGAGUUUGUGGCAUUCCACAGCACAUAUGUACAGAAAAUGGCAGCAUUAGCAUGGACUGAGGAUGGAGUCUUUGGCCCUCCAACAUAAAAAGGCCGCCUCUCCAGCACUUGAGCAGACCCAGUUAAAAG